GAUGAGCGCUGGCGGCGUGCUUAACACAUGCAAGUCGAACGAUGAAGCCUGAGCUUGCUCUGGUGGAUUAGUGGCGAACGGGCGAGUAACACGUGAGUAACCUGCCCUUGACUCUGGGAUAAGCGCUGGAAACGGCGUCUAAUACCGGAUACGAGCUUCCACCGCAUGGUGAGUUGCUGGAAAGAAUUUCGGUCAAGGAUGGACUCGCGGCCUAUCAGCUUGUUGGUGAGGUAACGGCUCACCAAGGCGACGACGGGUAGCCGGCCUGAGAGGGUGACCGGCCACACUGGGACUGAGACACGGCCCAGACUCCUACGGGAGGCAGCAGUGGGGAAUAUUGCACAAUGGGCGCAAGCCUGAUGCAGCAACGCCGCGUGAGGGACGAAGGCCUUCGGGUCGUAAACCUCUUUUAGCAGGGAAGAAGCGAAAGUGACGGUACCUGCAGGAAAAGCACCGGCUAACUACGUGCCAGCCGCCGCCGUAA
rnacentral:rRNA from 1 species